UCCUACGGGAGGCAGCAGUAGGGAAUAUUGGACAAUGGGCGCAAGCCUGAUCCAGCAAUGCCGCGUGAGUGAUGAAGGCCUUAGGGUUGUAAAGCUCUUUUACCAGAGAUGAUAAUGACAGUAUCUGGGGAAUAAGCCCCGGCUAACUCCGUGCCAGCAGCCGCGGUAAUAAAAAA
rnacentral:rRNA from 1 species